GGGUCUUAAUAUGUUUUCUGUUGCGUUCUGAGAGGAGAUAUGUGGACUCAGAAUUAAAAGACAGGCUUGUGAGCUUAGAAAGGAGGGAAAAUGCUUCUGUUUUUACCUCUGCAAUCUGAUUUCUUUCUUUCUUGUAUUUGUUAGAGGCAGUGUUUGGGCUGUGGGUGUCUUUAGGAGGCAGUUAAUGUGGUUGUGAGGUUGUGUGUCCAUUUGUAGCUUUGAUGUGAGAAGAAGUGUGGUGUUGGGCACAUCCCAUCCUGCAUCCCCACCCCCAUCUGCUGCACGUUACUCUAUCUAUCUAUCUAUCUAUCUAUCUAUCUAUCUAUCUAUCUAUCUAUCUAUCUAUCUAUCUAUCAUAUGGUUUCAUUUUGCUCAUCAUCAAAGCCUUUCUCCAUGUGCAGAAAACACGAUGAAAACGCGUCAGUUCUUGGAGCUGAAUGCGCACAACUGUGUAUUUAUGAGCUCUGUUGAUGUUUACUCGAGUGCUGCUUCGGGCUCCCUGCAGCCCGAGCGCGGCCCAGGAGCAGAUAGGCCCCAGCCUGGGGCCCCAGGUACGGGCUGAAUGUGCGCCAGUGGGACAUCCGCGACUUGACAGCUGCAUGAAGCUUUUCAGCGUUGUAAUUUCAGAUAAUAUCCCGAGCGCUCACUCUUCUCGGCAAUUUGUAUAUGAAUAACCGAAUAAUUUUCCCUUUUGUUCCAUCUGUGCUACCUCAAAUCCAAAUAAAGAUGCCUUUUAGUAUUAAAAGUGGUAGAAAAUUACAGGUAAUUAUCUUUGACGGUAAAAACGCUGUAAUCAGCGGGCUACAUCAAAAAUUACCCUAAUUAUGCCUGCAUUUAUGAGAAUGGAGGGAAAAAAAGCCUCACUUGGAUAAAAACCCACAAAUUGUCCCAAAUAUCUCCUUCAUAUUGAACGCCACUGCAGCUGGCUGCUUUGUUCAACAUCGAUCCCGUGGAGCUUGGCAUUUAACGGCCUGCAUUAGGACGGAGAGAAGGGAGAAAACAUUUUGUCAAUACUUCUAAUAAUUGAGGGUGAAAUGACAAGAUAAGCUGGACCUGGAGCAAAUGUCUUUCGAGGUGAAUGUAGACAGCAGCGGUGGAGGUCCGUGUCCAGCCACCGGUCUCCCAUCUCGUCCCCUUCUCUCCUCUCCAUCUCCCUCUUCAUACCCACUCUACCCCUCUCUCCCUAACCCCACACCUCUCUCCCCCUCUCUUCCUCCCUUCUCCCCCCCCAAUAGGUACGCCUCCAUCCCCUCUUGGCAGCUCCAUCUCCUCCUCGCCUCCCCCUGUCUCUCCACCCUCUCCCUGGUUGGUUUCCACAGCUGUGGUGAGUGAGGGGCAGAUGACCGGAGAAUUGGCCCCUGGGAGAGCGCUGAGCCAUCCUGGUGCUAUUAGGCUCGUGGCUAAUAAUAGGUGUUUCAGACCGGGGGAAGAUCAAUCAGGGGGAAUCAUGGGGAAUGUUCAGAGCAGCGCUUUUUACACAUCGGCCCAGAUGGAUGAAAUUACACUUGUCAGUUUUUAGUUGCAUUACUCCCAAAUUGGUUGUCUACUCUUUUUUCUCUCUCUCUCUCCCUCUCCCUCCCUCUCUCUCUCUCUCUCUCUCUCUCUCUCUCGCUCUCCCUUCUCUCCUUUCUCUCUCUUUGCCCCCAUUCAUGUGUCAGUGGCCUGCUAAAAGGAUUCGGCGGUGAAAUCCGUGUCAUUUUUGUCUUUUCCCUGUUAUCCCUCAGCCUGCAACUCUUUUUCGCCCUGCAUAUAUGCACUUAGAAGAAAUCAGUUGAAGAUGUCGUCUUAUGGCUCGGACAAUUUCCAUGUUAAAGUGCCGAUGACGUUCUGUGUGUGUUCUGCAUGUGUGAUAAAACAACGUGAUUUAGUCAUUUUCAAACAUUCACUGCAGAAUCAAAUAAGCUGAUCAAUUUACAGAAUAUUAAUGUGCUAUAUUCAUAAUAUGGCAAUUAUUUCAAUGAUUUUUCAAGUCAAAAUGCCAAACAUUGACUGUUUUCUGCCUUUGGAAAGUGAGGAUUAUUUGUUUUUCUGUGUAAUAUCAUUGUAACUUUAAUGUACAGGAGUUUUGAACUGUUUUUGAUGUCACUUUUAUCUCAGAAAAAUGAAGAUGGACAUAUGUUUCGUUUCACUUUUGUCAUCAGAAAGUAUUCCAUCCUAUAGCUGUAACUAGUAUGAAACAAAGGUUUGAAAUUAUAACGCUUUUCCAAUAUUAGGAUUUACAGAGUUUAAACCAAAUGUGUAAAAUGCAGUAAUUAUAUUGUAAGUGCAGAAAAAUCCUGUAUAAUUACAUAUAAUUAAAUCUGCCAAUAGCAAAGGAAGCAUUCAGCCUGUACCUCACUGUUUGAAACUGAAUAAAAUUCACCACACAAUGUUCA